ACAUGCCCACACCUGUGGCUUCUGAAGCAGAGCACCAGCAGUGACAGUCCCACCAGAACCGCAUGGAAUAGAAAACUGUGCAUUUCCCUAAGGAAAGGGAAUGCCAGAGAAGGGCAGAAGGGAAAUCAGGAAGACAAAACGUGUCUUCAUGUUGGAGUGGACCUUUCCUCUAUCUGUCAACAGAAUGGAUAAAUUGUGGAAGAGUAAUAUCAGAAUACUACACAUCAGUAAAAAACAACAAACUUCUGCUACAAACAAUCAACAUCGAUGAAUCUUUCAGGCAAAAGGGUUAAUGCCUACAAUAAGUGUUCUUGAAAUACAGUCACGCGUUGCUUAACCAUGGGGAUAUAUUCUGAUAAAUUCAUCAUUAGGCGAUUUCAUCACUGGGCGAACAUCACAGCUCGUACUCACACAAACCUAGAUGUCAUAGCCUACUACACACCUAGGCUAUAUGAUAUAGGCUAUUGCUAGCAACAAACCUGUACAGCAUGUUACUGUCUUGAAUACUUAGGCAGCAGAGCACAAUGUUAUAGAAACAGAUGAUCAGUGGCCCACGGAUUCCAGGUGAGGAUCUGGGACCCAGACAUCCAGAUAUUGAAAACACAGGGAUGGAGUCUGUAUGGAAAAAAUUAAAAUAUAGCAAAAUGUGAAAUACGGAAGAGAAAUCUUUCAAUUUCCCAAUGGAAGUGAGAAAAGAGCAAAGAAAAGUAUUGGUCUUCCAAAACAAAUAGAGGACGGAGCUGCUGCUGUUGCAUGGUGUCUAGAAACUCAGACAACUUCAUCAUUCCAUAUUUGCAUCCAAGAGAGAGAAAGAAAAACUACAAUCAUUUUCCAUUUACCCAUCAACCCAUCAACCUCCAAAGACAGGGUCUCACUAUGUUGCCCCAGUUGGCCUUGAACUGCUGGACUCAAGGGAUCCUCCUGCCUCAGCAUCCUGAGUAGCUGGGUCUACAGGCAUGAACCACCAGGCCCAGAACCCUGUCUUUUGAAAGCCAUAUGCGAUCUGUCUGCCCUGAAGUGACUACUUCAUCUCCAACCAGCCCUUGGCUGGCAAAGUCAGGAAGACUCCAGUCUUUCCUGAAGACCAGGGGAGAGUUUAUAACUCUAGCAUCAAAGUCAGCAGCUGUUCAUCUAGAAGACAACUUCCCAAAAGUCAAUGUCUUUGCCUGAAGCUUUUCUUCCCAGAUCUCCUAUGGUGAAACAACCAAAGGGAAGAAGAAUGUGGGCAGCCCUCAGUAAGACAGGAGAUGAGCAUCAACAUUGACCCAUUCUUUCUUCCAGUCCUCGAUGCUUACCUUGUACAUUCUUCUUUGUCUUCCGACUCAGUGCCUUUAGGGUAUGGACGUUGCCUGGUCCCACACAAGCCAAGCAUCAAAUGGAUGGCUCAACAAGGAGGCCAAGACCAGCUAAUGUUUAGUGAGCACCCAAAGGGGCCACACUGGAGAGAACAGCACAGCUCCGUCUGAGAAACAGCUGUUCCUUCCUGCCUGAGAGGCAGAGUGAUAGAAGAUAUCACAGAAUGUUGCUGCUUUGUCUUCCACCCUGAACCCUCCACGACCUCCCUGUAGCUUCCUGAUUUUAAGUAGACAUCAAAUGAUUCUUAAUCCUUUCUGGGUCUUGGAACGAUUUGAAAAUUGUCAACAGUACUGGGAUUCCCAGAAUAAUGCACAUAUGUACAUACUCAGAUAUUCCCCAAGCCCUGGAUAUAAUUUUAAGGGAGUUCACAGACCACACUCCCCCACCCAUCUGUGGACCCAGAUUCUGUGGGUUCGAGAUUCAGAAGCCCUGUUUCUAGGCAGGCCCUCUGUUGCUAACGCCCCUCGAGAACAUCACCCUAGAUGAUUAUCCCUUCUUCCUCCACUCCUUCCCACCUUCUCCAACUGCUGGGUUUCAGCACAAAGAUUGCUUGCCAGUUAAACUGGCACCAUGGACCGCACAGUAGUUGUUUCUUGGGUCUAGAGGAAACAGCCAGAUUCCUUUAAGUAAAUCAUGUCUUAGUUAUUGAUUGUCUCCACUUGAAGUUUUUGACAAUCUCUGAUUAAAUCAUAAACCACUGCA
rnacentral:lncRNA from 1 species